CAAUCGGCCCUUUUCAGGGCUAUCUACUUGUAAAUACAACGGUGUA
rfam:Trachymyrmex cornetzi contig52412, whole genome shotgun sequence.